rnacentral:rRNA from 1 species
GCUGGCGGCAGGCCUAACACAUGCAAGUCGAGUCGCCGUAGCAAUACGGAGCGGCAGACGGGAGAGUAACACGUGGGAACGUACCCUUUGGUUCGGAACAACCCAGGGAAACUUGGGCUAAUACCGGAUAAGCCCUCACGGGGAAAGAUUUAUCGCCGAAGGAUCGGCCCGCGUCUGAUUAGCUAGUUGGUGGGGUAACGGCCCACCAAGGCGACGAUCAUUAGCUGGUCUGAGAGGAUGAUCAUGCCUCACUGGGACUGAGACACGGCCCAGACUCCUACGGGAGGCAGCAGUGGGGAAUAUUGGACAAUGGGCGCAAGCCUGAUCCAGCCAUGCCGCGUGGGUGAUGAAGGCCCUAGGGUUGUAAAGCCCUUUCGGCGGGGAAGAUAAUGACGGUACCCGCAGAAGAAGCCCCGGCUAACUUCGUGCCAGCAGCCGCGGUAAUACGAAGGGGGCUAGCGUUGCUCGGAAUCACUGGGCGUAAAGCGCACGUAGGCGGCUUCUUAAGUCAGGGGUGAAAUCCUGGAGCUCAACUCCAGAACUGCCUUUGAUACUGAGGAGCU